rnacentral:misc_RNA from 1 species
CAGCACACGUAGACACGCACGAAUUUUGGCACACCUCUCUACGCUUCGCCUCUCGUGCCCAUCCACACGCCCACCUCGCCGGCCCUACCUUCUCUUUUCCGCCCACUAUCUCGCUCUCACAUAUGGCGUGCGCCGUCCCCUCCCCCGGGACGUCCCAGGUCGUUACGUGCCCGAGCACGCUGACAUCCCCGGUAAAGAUCGAUCAGGAGUGGUCGAUCACUACUUCAUCUGCCACGCACGCUACCCCCACCGCGCAGGCGCCGGUGGCGACGCUGUGCACUCUUGCAAAAGCAUCAGCGACCACGACACCGGUGACGGAUGGCACCCACGCUUUCCUUCAGCCUUCCCCUGUCUCUGCUAUGUCGGCUAUCCGCCGCUUCUUGCGCCGCAGCAGCAUCAUGGUCCCGUUCAUGGCAGAGCGUGCAGCCAAGGAGGUGGUUGUGCUUCCGCCGCCGAUACAUCGUCUCUACCGCCAGGCGGACGAGACUCGGCGCUCGCUGGUUCGUCGAGCAGACUUCCUCGCCAGCUGCGGCGAAAACGAACUGGCCGCGGAGAAUGCGGAUGCCUGUGUGAGCGCCGACCGUGAAGCGAGUGCCAAAGUCGACCGUCCACGCGGCGACGUGUUCGACUUCACCUGGACCAGGAAAGAGGUGAAUGCAAUGCGCAUGCAGCAGCGUGAGUACCUGCGCAGGCAGCGCGGCAGCCCUCACGCACCGGUUCUGGUAAGGAUGAAUGAGCUGGCGUCAAAUCUUCUGAACGAUGGCGAUUGGGAACAGAUGGAAAAGGCGAGUCCCACCGUUGCAGCUGUCGCCGCGCCGGCUGUGCAUGACAAUGUAGCGAACAUCGUGGCUGGCCUUUGCACGCGCGCCAUCCCCCAAGCUGAGUACAUCCGCAGCGUCUUCAAUUACCGCAUGAGCGUCCUGCAGAAGCGCAUCAACGCGGUUCCGACCGGAGUGGUAGUCCCCGCUGUCGUGCAGGCUACCAUGACGCUAGACGAGCUGUCGGAGAGCCACAGCGGCGAGAAUAUCCCGAAGUACAAGAAGGACAAGGCCACCUCCAAAAAAGCGUUGUCGCCCACUACGGCGCCAACUGUCACCUUCCCGCAUCCCGGGGUGCCUUUCACAUACCAAGAUCUUGCGCAAGACCCCCUACUGCUGACGGCUGAGCAGCGCGCCGACCGCCGCGCGGCGUUGCUUCACCGGCGCACGCUGUCUGAAGAGGUCUACGGCCAGCCUGUCCCGUACAUAUGAGUGCGCUCACAGGCACAGACACUCAUACGCAUGCUCCCUACAAAGGACAGAGCGAGUGCCCGUGCCUGUGUUCGUCCUUGCGCGUUUUUACAACUCCUGGUGUCUAUGUAUCGAGUGCAUCCCUUGAUUUGCUCUUUUUUUUUGUCACAAGAAGGAGGUGGAGAGAUGAAUCAGAAAGGAACGUGUCUUCCUGUAAACGCGCCCUUCCCCUAUCUUAUCUCGCUCUCCCUCCCUCCCUCUCUCUUUGUGUUCUCCCAGUCCUAUUCGAAUGUGAUCGUCUGACGCCUUGAUCGGUCCUCGCCUCUGAUCCUGUGUCAUCGCCACCUCUGAUUUCUGCCUUGCCUUCCACGUUCCCUCUCUGCGCUCGGAAUCUUCUGCUGUGUUUUACUUGCUUUUUCAUGUCGGCUUUUUAUUCUUGGUUUCUCUGUUUCCGUUCUCUGAUGUGUACCCCACCCCCAUCCACCCUCACCUACAUCUGCAUAUCUAUGUGUACUACCGUGAAG